CAGUCGCCGCGGGAAUACGUAGGUGGCAAGCGUUGUCCGGAAUUAUUGGGCGUAAAGCGCGCGCAGGUGGUUUAAUAAGUCUGAUGUGAAAGCCCACGGCUCAACCGUGGAGGGUCAUUGGAAACUGUUAAACUUGAGUGCAGGAGAGAAAAGUGGAAUUCCUAGUGUAGCGGUGAAGUGCGUAGAGAUUAGGAGGAACACCAGUGGCGAAGGCGGCUUUUUGGCCUGUAACUGACACUGAGGCGCGAAAGCGUGGGGAGCAAACAGGAUUAGAUACCCCUGUAGUCCCUGUCUCUUAUAC
rnacentral:rRNA from 1 species